rnacentral:rRNA from 1 species
UAGGGAAUUUUCCACAAUGAGCGAAAGCUUGAUGGAGCGACACAGCGUGCACGAUGACGCCCUUCGGGGUGUAAAGUGCUGUUAUAAGGGAAGAAAAAACUAAUUAGGAAAUGAAUUAGUCUUGACGGUACCUUGUCAGAAAGUGACGGCUAACUAUGUGCCAGCAGCCGCGGUAAUACAUAGGUCACAAGCGUUAUCCGAAAUUAUUGGGCGUAAAGCGUCUGUAGGUUGUUUAUUAAGUCUGACGUUAAAUCUUGGGGCUCAACCCCAUUCCGCGUCAGAUACUGGUAAGCUAGAGUUAUAUAGAGGUUAGUGGAAUUCAAUGUGAAGCGGUGGAAUGCGUAGAUAUAUUGAAGAACACCAAUGGCGAAGGCAGCUAACUGGAUAUCAACUGACACUGAGAGACGAAAGCGUGGGGAGCAAACA